UGGACGGUACAACGAGUCGCAAGCUCGCGAGAGUAAGCUAAUCUCUUAAAGCCGUUCUCAGUUCGGACUGUAGGCUGCAACUCGCCUACACGAAGUCGGAAUCGCUAGUAAUCGCGGAUCAGCAUGCCGCGGUGAAUACGUUCUCGGGCCUUGUACACACCGCCCGUCACACCAUGGAAGUUGGGGGCGCCCGAAGUUGGUCGAGGAAUAGAUUACCUAAGGCGAAACCAAUGACUGGGGUGAAGUCGUAACAAGGUAUC
rnacentral:rRNA from 1 species